rnacentral:lncRNA from 1 species
UACUACUUGUUGGAUCGUUGAUGCUAAUUAUUAAUUUCAAGAGCUUGAACUAUUAAAAAGAUAUAACUAACUUACUUAAAACUUAUAGACAUAUAUAGCACCCAUGGGUCUUGAUUGUGACUCGUUUAACCAGCAUCCGUGACUUCAAAUAUGACUCGGUCCAAUUCGACCUCUCGCCAUUUCGAAUGUAACUCGACCCAAUAUAGCUUCCCGCCACAAAAUAGAAUGCUGGCUCUUUUAAGCCAAUAAUUCAAAUGUUGCAUUAAUCAUUUGAAAUUGUAUUUAUUGGUUAAGGAAUAAAGUGAGAAUAGACCACUUUAUUCCUCUAAUUCAUCCAAACACUAGAGGGAGGAAUGAGUUUAUUUAAUCUCCCUUUUAACAGGUUAUUAUAGAAUAAGUCGUUAAGAGGGAGGAAUUGUUGUUCUACCCUUUUGGUGGAAUAACAAUUUCUUCUCUUUGUACUAGGGGUGUCAACGGGUCGGAUUCGGGGCGGAUUUUUAAAAACCCGAAUCCGAACCCGACUAUCAAAUCUGAAAUCCGAAUCCGAAUCCGAACCCGACGGAUUUUAAAAAUCCAUAUCCAAACCCGAACCCGACAAAAAAUCCGAAACCCGAAAAUCCGAACCCGAAUCAGGAACAAACUCGAAUCCGACCAAAAACCUAAAACCCGAUUCUAAACCCGAAAACCUGAAUCCGAAAAUAAUAUUUAUCAAAUUUGGAACAUAUUAUACCAAAAAAAUUAAAAUUUUGAAACAUAUUAUACAAAA